AUUAGAAGUACAAAACCUUCCUUCCUAAAACACAUGCUUGCAUAUGGGAAGAGGUUUUGUUUGGAGCAGAAGGAAAGCAUGUGGUAGGUGGAAAAAAAGAGAGAGGGAAUGUGGUACCUGGGAGGAGGAGACACCUGUUAGUGACAGCACAGUCUGGCAGACAGCUAAUUGUGAAAUUUGACUUUGUAUAGGCAAUUUAAGCUCUAGAACUAUGAGAGCAGCAAUGAGUUGUAGUGUGGAUGUGAUGCCUGAGACCAAACUGCUGCCUUGCCUGGGCCCUUCUACAUGACCAUUUACGCUCACUGGAGAGUAAACCUGCAGGAGAACUUCAGAAUGGUGUAAGAGGAUGUAGGGAUAGCUGCUGCCACUUAAUUCUGUAUGUAUCUACUGUGCUGUGCCAGUGCCUGCUUGGUCUGAAACCUGCUUCUGGUUUGGUUGUUCUUUUAUUUCUUGGGAGAUAUACUUCCCCAAAUAAGGCUUACCUCACAUAUUUCUUGCAGCGGAAGAGAGAAGUAAUAUCCCAAAUAAUUACUUAGAAAAAAAAAAUAAUGGGAUUAUGUGAGAGAAUUACCGUAUGAAGCUACUUGGUGCAGGAGAGCUGUAAUGAAAUCUUGCAAUAAGGGACAUACCACUGACAUUUAGGUUUAUUGAUGAGUGACUCCUGCUCAAAAGCUUUCAAAGCCAUUAUCUGCUGCCUGCCACUCUGCCCUGUUUCAGUAGGACUGCAUCAAAAACCUUACUUUUAGAGCACUGUAAAGCAACUAAUGGAAAAAAAACAAGGGGAAAGAAUCUCACUUGAAAUGUGUCAUUAACAUAGAUGCAGAAAUGCCAAAGCCUCUGAAUAUGACACUGUGAGGACCCAUGCAUUGUGUGGAAGGGACAAUAGGUGUUCUUAGAACCAGACCACCAAUUGUGGAUUACUGCAGGUAUUUUGCUGAGUGAGGAAGACAAGGAGCUAAACAGCUACCAUGUGCUCAGUAAAACACUGAUGUGGUGUUCUCACAGGAGGCAAAAUGCACCUGGUCCUCAAGGUCCUCUACCAGCUGAUUCAUUUGGAAAUGCAACACAGCAAAUAAGAGAGAACACACUUCAUCUAAACCCUGCAACAGCUAGAGCCAGAAGUCAAAUAUAUGCAGUAAAAGAAAUUCUUUGUACUUCUAUUGUGUCUUUCACCCAAAUAUUCCAAUGGAUGUCUACACCUCAUGCUCCUUUUCAUCUGCAAGUCCUGCUCUUGGUAUGUUAUCAUUUGCAUUUCCCUGU
rnacentral:lncRNA from 7 species